GGCAACCCGCUCGGGUCCCCUUCCACACUGUGGAAGCUUUGUUCUUUUGCUCUUUGCAAUAAAUCUUGCUGCUGCUCACUCUUUGGGUCCACACUGCUUUUAUGAGCUGUAACACUCACCACAAAAGUCUGCAGCUUCAGUCCUGAAGCCAGCGAGACCACGAGCCCACCAGGAAGAACAAACAAACUCCAGACACGCCACCUUAAGAGCUGUGACACUCACCACGAGGGUCCGCGGCUUCAUUCUUGAAGUCAGUUGAGACCGAGAACCCACCAAUUCCGGACACACUGGGAUUACAGGGCCUUGGAAGAAAUUUUGUACCUGUUUGCCUCUGCUGGAUGACGCACUCUGAACACAGCUACCUAAAAGUGGAAGGAAGGAGGCCGGGCAGGGUGGCUCACGCCCAUAAUCCCAGCACCUUGGGAGACUGAGUCAGGUGGAUCACUUGAGCUCAGGAGUUUGAGACCAGCCUAGGCAACAUGGCGAAAUCCUGUCUCUACAAAAAAAAUUUAAAACUUAGGCAUGGUGGCACGUGCCUGUAGUCCCAGCUACUCAGGAGUCUGAGGUGGGAGGAUUGCUUGAGCCUAGGAGGUGGAGGCUGCAGUGAGCCGAAAUCACAUCACUGCCCUCCAGCCUGAGCAACAGAGCAAGACCCAAUCUCAAAAAAAAAAAAAAAAAAAAAAAGGCUAAAAGGAAGGACUGUUUUGAGCUGAGGCAACCCCAAGGACUGGUGACAUUCCCUGGGUCUCCCCUGCCAGCCUCGUGUCAUACCCCAAGAGAGGCUGGGACACAUCUGUGAAACAGGAUGCUGAACAGCGGAACACAGCGGACUUGAGCCAGCCUAAGUGGGUUUCUGCUCCUUGCAACAAGAGGCCUGAAUAGAAGCCCCUUCUUCAGGGGAGUGGGCAUCAGCUCAGAAAGAGGAUCCCAUGGGAACUGACUUUGCUGGUGACCAAGGCCCUACCACCAGGGCACCCUGCCCAUGUAUCCCAAGCAGAGGGAGCAGAACCAGCGGUGUAACUACUGUGCUUGACACCCAGGGCAGGUCUUUUUUUAACUCACCGAUCUUCCAUGCAACAAAAUUGUUUUCUGUGAAAAGCAGGAAAUGAAUAACAACAGCGUAGGUGCGUUGGCUAUGUCCGGUGGCAUUUCUUCAGAAUUUUCAUUAAUGACACCUGAUUUUGGAGGCAUUGUAUAUUUUUAAAUACAUCCAGAUGUUGUUUCAGUUGCUUCCUCUUUGGUUCUUUUUGCUUUUCGUUGUUGAGCGUCACUUAAAUUCGUGUCAUUUCAUGUUGGUACAGGUACUCCACUUCAAAUUUCCCAAGAAAUUCAGAAGAAUUGUGAACAAGUUGCUGGUUUCACAAUACUGCAAGACACUGCAAGUUAUUCCAAGUUCCUACAGGACAACGAUGCACAAUUAUUUACUUACUUAUGUUUAAAUAUACCUAUCAGUUUGACUUUCAUCCUUUGGUGACAUUCUAAUAAUUUAUGUAAAUAAUUAUUCAGAGACCAAUGAGAGGAUUUUAAUAAGUGCAAAAUGUUAGCAGACGGUACAACAUUGAUAAAUCUAUGGUCUGUAUUUUGUUCUGCCAUUUCAAAAUAAUUAAAAAGUAAGUUUCAAUUUAAAAACA